CGCUAUCUACUACCGGAUUGGAAACGCGACCCGCUGAGAAGAUCCGGCGAGAAACUCAGUGGACUGUGUCUGAGUGUUAAUUUACUCGUCGAGCCCUUCGUCGCAAGCGACGGGUUCGAUGAGAACGGUGACCGGUGCUUGAGGUACCUAAAAGCACCGUUAGUGGAUUUGAUACUGAAAUGUAGAUUCAGUGAAGCACUGCUCUUGCUGGGGAUAACACAAUAGUGUCACCUGGAAAAGGGCGAAAAAUGGCGCCUUUAUGAAUGCACCGCCCGCUAAGUGUCAAAGGGCUGGACGGGAUCGUGCGGUACAGAGCCAUCCAGAAUUCUAAUUUAAUUUAAAACAUCGCUUACAAGAACAUGAUAUUAAA